rnacentral:lncRNA from 1 species
AGCAUGUGUGAGUAUUGAAAAAUAGUUUUCAGGUGAUUUACAGAGGAACUCGAGUCGAGUCAAUUUGACAUAUGACUGAUGAUGGAGUUUGACGAGUUCUUCAUGACCUCCAUCAAGUUAGAACUCUCGAUAGAAGGACUGAAUCAUACGAUAACUGCACUUAGAGGUUUACACCUUUAUUCUGUUGGGUUGCCACUACAUACUGCUAGGUGUCACUAGUGGAUUGUGGGAUUCGUUGGAAGUCAUCUUGAU